AAGUCGUAACAAGGUAUCCGUAGGUGAACCUGCGGAUGGAUCAUUACCAAUUUUAUAUACUAGUGUGUAUGCCGCUGUCAAAGGUGGUACUACACUACUACUAUUAUGUAAACGUUGAACUAGAUCAAUUGGUGUGGAUUGCUUGGGAAUGGACGAAGCGACAAGCCUCUUCCGGACAGGCAAACCCCACACUGAUACCCUUUUCAAUAUAAUUUACUAGUACAUACUACAAACAAACAAACAAACAAAAGCUAUAAUAGGACUUAUAAACAGGCUGAGUGGGUAAAAUCCUCGGCUUAACCAAUAUAACUAUUACAACUUUCAGCAAUGGAUCUCUAGGCUCUC
rnacentral:misc_RNA from 1 species